CCUACGGGUGGCAGCAGUGAGGAAUAUUGGUCAAUGGGAGAGAUCCUGAACCAGCCAAGCCGCGUGAGGGAAGACGGCCCUAUGGGUUGUAAACCUCUUUUGUCGGAGAACAAAACCCGGGACGUGUCCCGGACUGCGUGUAUCCGAAGAAAAAGCAUCGGCUAACUCCGUGCCAGCAGCCGCGGUAAUACGUAGGGGGCAAGCGUUAUCCGGAUUUACUGGGUGUAAGGGGGGCGCAGACGGCGAGGCAAGCCAGGAGUGAAAGCCCGGGGCCCAACCCCGGGACUGCUCUUGGAACUGCGAGGCUAGAGUGCAGGAGUGGCAGGCGGAAUUCCUGGUGUAGCGGUGAAAUGCGUAGAUAUCAGGAGGAACACCGGUGGCGAAGGCGGCCUGCUGGACUGCAACUGACGUUGAGGCCCGAAAGCGUGGGGAGCAAACAGGAUUAGAUACCCCUGUAGUC
rnacentral:rRNA from 1 species